rnacentral:ncRNA from 1 species
UCUGAACACUCUGUGAAGCACUAAGUUGAGGGCCCAAAGUGAGUGUUGAUGGGAUGUGAUUUUUCUCCAGUGCUCUGAAUGCCAAAGUGAAUAAAAUUCAAUGAAGCACAGGUAAUAGGUGGGAGUAACUAUAACUCUCUUAAGGAAGUCAAAUGCCUCAUCAUAUAAUUAGUGACAUGCAUGAAUGGAUGAAUGAGA